CAGUAGCCGCGGGAAAACGUAGGUGGCAAGCGUUGUCCGGAAUUAUUGGGCGUAAAGGGCUCGCAGGCGGUUUCUUAAGUCUGAUGUGAAAGCCCCCGGCUCAAUCGGGGAGGGUCAUUGGAAACUGGGAAACUUGAGUGCAGAAGAGGAGAGUGGAAUUCCACGUGUAGCGGUGAAAUGCGUAGAGAUGUGGAGGAACACCAGUGGCGAAGGCGACUCUCUGGUCUGUAACUGACGCUGAGGAGCGAAAGCGUGAGGAGCGAACAGGAUUAGAUACCCCGGUAGUCCCUGUCUCUUAUAC
rnacentral:rRNA from 1 species